AUGCAGCUGCAGCUCGGCACGGUGCCGACGGUGGUGGUGUCGUCGGCUGAGGCGGCGCAGGAGGUGAUGAAGACGCACGACGAGGACUGUUGCACCCGGCCCGUGUCCCCGGGGAUGAAGCGGCUGUCCUAUGGCCUCAACAACGUCGGGUUCGCGCCCUAUGGCGCCUACUGGCAGGCGAUGCACAAGUUCCUCGUGGUCGAACUCUUCGGCGUGCGGCACGGCAAGGCCACAUGGCACGCACGUCAGCACCAGGUGGAGAAACUGAUGAGCACCUUGAGCGGCUUGGCCGGAGAGCCCGUAGCCCUCAAGGAGCACAUCUUCAGACUCGCCGACGGCAUCAUUGGCAUGCUGGGGUUUGGUGACAUGUACAACAGCGACAAGUUCCCACACCACAAGAACUUGGAGCACGUGCUCGAGGAGGCCGCACACGCGCAGGCCAGCUUUUCCGCCGAGGACUACUUCCCCAACAUUGUCGGCCGGCUGGUCGACCGAAUCACCGGCCUCGCUGCUCGCCGCGACCGGAUCUUCAAGCAGCUUGAUACCUUCUUCGAGAUCAUCAUUGAGCAGCAUCUUGACCCUCGGCGCGUCAAGCCUCACAAUGGUGACCUCGUUGACCGCCUCAUUGGCCUUUGGAAGGACAAAAGUGGCACCCUCAACAUCACAAGAGACCACGUCAAGGGCAUCAUCUUUGGCACAUUCAUUGGUGGCCCGGACACGGCCUCGGUGACGAUCCUAUGGGCGAUGGCGGAGCUGAUCCGGAAGCCACAACUACUGAAGAAGGUGCAAAACGAGAUCAGGGGCGUGGUGGGCGACAACGAGAGGGUGCGCCAGGACGACUUGGCCAAGCUGGGCUACCUCAAGAUGGUGGUCAAGGAGACCCUACGGCUACACCCACCAGCGACAAUGUUGCUGCCGAGGGAGGCCAUGAGGGACAUCCAAAUUGGCGGCUAUGAUGUGCCGGCCAAGACAUGGAUCUAUGUGAACGCAUGGGCCAUUGGCAGGGACCCGGCAAGCUGGCCUGAUGACCCAGAGGAGUUCAAACCAGAGAGGUUUGAGGCGAGCGAGAUAGACUUCAAGGGCGCACAUUUCGAGCUAACGCCAUUUGGCGCGGGGCGGCGGAUAUGCCCCGCCCUGUCUAUGAGCACGGCAACCGUGGAGUUCACGCUGGCCAACUUAUUGUACUGCUUUGAGUGGGCGCUCCCCGAGGGGACUGCAGUGAGCAUGGAGGAGGAAGGUAAGCUCAUCCCCCUCCUCAAGACGCCACUCGUGCUGGUGCCCACCGCGUACCGGCGGCCCGCCAGCUGA
rnacentral:rRNA from 1 species